AGUUUCUGUAAAUUUACACCCAGAUUCCAACAUUAUUCACCUGUUUCCUUCAAUAAACAGGACUUUCCAGUCAUUAGUAAGACAAAUGUGUAAAAUCAGGCUCCAACACUGUUAUUUACCACGCCCGUAAUGUUUAUUCUGGAACACACGUACUUCCCGUUAUCUAUUAACGUUACCUUCGAGCUGGUGAUGGGAAGCUGUCUGCUGAGAGAAGACGAUACGUUGGAAUCAUACCCAAACCCAUCAACACAAUAAGGGAUGUGCGACUGUAGCUGAUGUUGAGUCUUCUAAGCCUACCUGUGACGCCUCGCCUGAUAUUACUAGGUGAACGACAAGGUAAUCAUCAAAAGUGGAUGGUCAGCAUUGAAUCCUUAAUCGUUUGUGAAGGGUCCAACCUCGCCACAUUUCUAACAGGGAUUGCGACAUGUUUCUCCACCUUCUAUAUUCUGAAUCUGCAAUAUCAGGAGGAGGCAGCGUGCACCCUUGAAUUCUUCCAGAG